rnacentral:rRNA from 1 species
UACGUAGGGUGCAAGCGUUAAUCGGAAUUACUGGGCGUAAAGCGUGCGCAGGCGGUUAUGUAAGACAGAGGUGAAAUCCCCGGGCUCAACCUGGGAACUGCCUUUGUGACUGUAUGACUCGAGUGUGGCAGAGGGGGGUGGAAUUCCACGUGUAGCAGUGAAAUGCGUAGAGAUGUGGAGGAACACCGAUGGCGAAGGCAGCCCCCUGGGUCAACACUGACGCUCAUGCACGAAAGCGUGGGGAGCAAACAGGAUUAGAAACCCCUGUAGU